rnacentral:rRNA from 1 species
UACGGAGGGUGCAAGCGUUGUCCGGAUUUAUUGGGUUUAAAGGGUGCGUAGGCGGAUAUUUAAGUCAGUGGUGAAAUGUUGCGGCUCAACCGUAAGAUUGCCAUUGAUACUGGAUAUCUUGAGUAUGUUUGAGGUGGUUGGAAUGCGUAGUGUAGCGGUGAAAUGCAUAGAUAUUACGCAGAACACCGAUUGCGAAGGCAGAUCGCUAAGACAUAACUGACGCUGAUGCACGAAAGCGUGGGUAGCGAACAGG